CUAACUCCACCUAGACAGCAUGGGCAGCUUGAGGAUGGACAAAUGUCACCCCUCACAGUUUCUUCAUCUUCAGCUGAAGAAGUUGAGCCAGCUGGUGACUAAAUCCCUCACUGCUCCAGCAGUGUGUGUGUACGGGGGUGUGGAAAUCCUUCUUACGGGAAGUACAGUGAUGGCGUUGAUCCUGGAACCGGACUAGCUGUGGACUCAAAGACUUAAGUUGAUGCUUACUGUGAACGAGGAUUAUUAUUGUGCCACCUCCGUGAUUUCAGCUGAUAGUGCCAGUUACACUGGCCCCUUUGUGGUUCUUUGUGACCUUAUUUAUUAACUUGGUACCUGAAACCCUCUGUACCUCCUUAGAAGAUGGAAGCAGUUAAUCCUUCAUCCAUCAGUCACUCAUGGCCAUACCACAGGUGCUAUGCAAACACAGUGACGUCCUCAUGUAUGAGGAGGCCUUUGACACGACAGAGCAUAUGACAACACACACUCAGGCCGUGUCUCUUUGGUAUUGUCCCUGUGGAGGCCGACUUUCCUUCUCACUGCAUCUGAGUAAGACUUCCCACUCCUGUCAGGGGGCAAUCAAAGCUGGAAACUGGCCUCGCCUGGGCCUUCGGUUCCAGCCCAUCCAGAAGCCGUGGAGGGCGAAUCCCUAAAGCUUCGCUCAGUAUUGUAAAGGCACUCCAGCUUCCUCCAGAGUCACUCUAAAUUCCUCAGGUUUCUUUGUGACUGGCUUCCUGGAGAAGAGAAGAAACCCAGAACCUCACUGAGGGUGUCUGACCUGAAAGCGAGUUGCUGUCCACUACGUAUGAGAGUGAAAGAAGAGCAGUAAGGGGCUCAUUCCCAAGAUCAUAGCGCCGGCAAGGACCCCAGGUCUUGGGUUGUGGUGCUAAAAACAGGCCUUGUCAUGACAGGAACUUCUACUGCCUUCAGCCUUACCAGACAGAGGAGGGUUAAGGAAGGAACUGCUGGCCCUAAUACACAAACUGCCACAGAAGCGGAAGUGCCUUCCUGCUUUUCUAUUAGCGCCAGAUGGCUGGAGAUGGCUGUGAGGCUGACGCAAUUAAUAUUUCUUUUCCAGGGCCGGGGUGCUGGUUGGGAGCACCAGACAAGUUAACCAGCAGAUUAAACAGUGAUGGAGGAAGAUGUGUUUAUGGGCCUCAUUGGGAACAGAAGGAAGAAUGAACAAUUUCAAGGUGGAGGAAAAUUUAGCAAGUCUUCUAAUCCAUGUUUCAGCCCUCACUUACCAUAACCUCAGAAGAAAGUUGCUUUUCCUGUUCCUUAAAUGAAUUCCUUGGACUCACACUCCAUUUCUUUGAAUUUGCACAGACUGUUGAGGAGCAGGUAGCUGGCAGCAGCAGCCCUACCUCUGCUCAAACAAGCCUCAGAGAGAAUAUUACAGAGAAGACUGGGGGAAGAGGUCCUGGAACUUGGGGGUCCCCUUUCCUCUCUGCCCACUCAGUUCUCAAGUGGCAGCUGUGCUACAGUGGAGACCACUGAGUUUAGACUUGGAAGAUCUGGGUUUGCAUCUAACUCCACUUCUUACUUGCAAGUCACUUACUUCACUAGGCCUCAGUCACCUGGACAAUAA